CAAGUUAUGAUUACCCAAAACACCGAGCUCAUUCCAUUUUGGGUCUGCUUUGCUGGUUUAUUGAAUGGGAUCGAUUGGGUAAUAUAUGGCCGCCUUAUUAAUCUCAACCUUUACAUUGUGGUUGGAAAUGCAGUUGGUGUAGCUGCUGGCGCGAUUCAGAUCUUGGUGUACUUUUAUUACACACCGCUCAUUUCAAAUCUUCUCCCAAAUCACACCAUGAAAUCAGCUGCUCUUAUUAUUCCAUAGCCACCCGACCCAACCCCUCCACCUCGAACCAGGCUGGCGGCUUCUUCGGCAGCCCGGAUGUUUUGAGUGGACAUCAAGUUUCUGAGGGACACACAGACAGUUUCGGAUCAUUGGAUAAGCAGCAGGUCAGGUGGGAAAUAGUAGAAGACGAACAACAACUCGAAUGCAUGGAAUAAAGCUUUAGUUCUACUGCAAUCAUACAUAAAACUAGUUAUUGAUAGUAACACGUACAAACAGAAAUGGAUAUUCUGGAUGAGAAGAUCAGAUUAUGGUCAAGUGGCAAGGAUGCUGACAUUAGACUUCUGCUUUCUUCACUGCAUCAUAUCUUAUGGCCAAACAGUGGCUGGUUACCGGUGCCCUUAGCAAGCAUAAUCGAAUCCUCCCAAGUGAAGAAAUCAUAUCAAAAGGCGCGGCUGUGCCUGCACCCGGGCAAGCUCCAACAAAGAGGCGCAACGCCCCAACAGAAGUACGUUGCAGAUAAAGCCUUUUUGAUUCUUCAGGUGAGUUUGAGUCAUUGCACAAGUUGAGAAUUGGCC